UACGGAGGGUGCAAGCGUUAUCCGGAUUCACUGGGUUUAAAGGGUGCGUAGGAGGGCAGGUAAGUCAGUGGUGAAAUCUUUGGGCUUAACCCGAAAACUGCCAUUGAUACUAUCUGUCUUGAAUGCGGUGGAGGUGAGCGGAAUAUGUCAUGUAGCGGUGAAAUGCUUAGAUAUGACAUAGAACACCCAUUGCGAAGGCAGCUAACUACGCGAUCAUUGACGCUGAUGCACGAAAGCGUGGGGAUCAAACAGG
rnacentral:rRNA from 1 species